rnacentral:rRNA from 1 species
CCCUUAGAUGUUCUGGGCCGCACACGCGCUACACUGAAGGAGGCAGCGUGUACUCCUGGAUCGAAAGAUUUGGGUAACCCGCGAAUCUCCUUCGUGCUAGGGAUUGAGGUUUGCAAUUAUCCUUCAUGAACGAGGAAUUCCCAGUAAGUGCAAGUCAUAAGCUUGCGCUGACUACGUCCCUGCCCUUUGUACACACCGCCCGUCGCUACUACCGAUUGAAUGAUUUAGUGAGGACUUCGGACUGGGGCCGAUGCGGCUUUCGGGCUGCGUCGGUAUUCUGGAAAGAUGUCCAAACUGUNUNAUUUAGNGGAAGUAAAANUCGUANCA